rnacentral:tRNA from 1 species
CUUGUUUUAGGUUAAAUAUGACCAAUUAUUUUGUAAAUAAAAAGAUAUAACAAAA